rnacentral:rRNA from 1 species
AGUGAACGCUGGCGGUAGGCCUAACACAUGCAAGUCGAACGGCAGCACAGUAAGAGCUUGCUCUUACGGGUGGCGAGUGGCGGACGGGUGAGGAAUACAUCGGAAUCUACUUUUUCGUGGGGGAUAACGUAGGGAAACUUACGCUAAUACCGCAUACGACCUACGGGUGAAAGCAGUGGAUCUUCGCACCUUGCGCGAUUGAAUGAGCCGAUGUCGGAUUAGCUAGUUGGCGGGGUAAAGGCCCACCAAGGCGACGAUCCGUAGCUGGUCUGAGAGGAUGAUCAGCCACACUGGAACUGAGACACGGUCCAGACGCCUACGGGAGGCAGCAGUGGGGAAUAUUGGACAAUGGGCGCAAGCCUGAUCCAGCCAUACCGCGUGGGUGAAGAAGGCCUUCGGGUUGUAAAGCCCUUUUGUUGGGAAAGAAAAGCAGCAGGUUAAUACCCCGCUGUUCUGACGGUACCCAAAGAAUAAGCACCGGCUAACUUCGUG